CCUACGGGAGGCAGCAGUGAGGAAUAUUGGUCAAUGGGCGCUAGCCUGAACCAGCCAAGUAGCGUGAAGGAUGACUGCCCUAUGGGUUGUAAACUUCUUUUAUAUGGGAAUAAAGUGCAGUAUGUAUACUGCUUUGCAUGUACCUUAUGCAUAAGGAUCGGCUAACUCCGUGCAGGAGCCCGGGUAAUACGGGGGAUUCGAGGGUUAUCCGGGUUUAUUGGGUUUAAAGGAAGCGUAGGGGGGUUGUUAAGUGAGUUGUGAAAGUUUUCGGCUCAACCGUAAAAUUGCAGUUGAUACUGGGAUCCUUGAGUACAGGAGAGGAAGGCGGAAUUCGUGGUGUAGCGGUGAAAUGCUUAGAUAUCACGAAGAACUCCGAUUGCGAAGGCGGCCUGCUGGACUGUAACGGACGCUGAUGCUCGAAAGUGUGGGUAUCAAACAGGAUUAGAUACCCCAGUAGUC
rnacentral:rRNA from 1 species